UUUUGUAGACGUAAAAUCCUUUGUAAACUUGUUUCAUAAUCUUUCUGUUCAACGAAUAUGCUUGAAUCGUCUACGGGCGACAAAUUCAAGUCACCUAUCUUCAACAUAUAUACAACCAUACUAACGAGAAGUUGUCGAGAAGAUUAGCAAAAAUCCAAGGAUAAUCGAGGACAUCCUGUCUUCACCUAAAGUCAAUCAAAUUAUAAAGUAGUUUCUUUCUGAAAAAUUGUAAAAUGAACUGAAAUGUGAUAAAUUAGUUAAAUAAUAAUUUUCCAUUUUGAAAAGCAUUUUGUUUGUAAAUAUUGCUAUCGAAAAUAUUCUUUUUAUAUGAUAUUUCACCUAAAUCAUUGAAGCAUAUGUUCAAGUCAGUGAUUUAUUUAGAUGUUAACACCAUUAUGACAAAAUAUAGCUACGUAUAUUCAUUUGUUAAUGUUGCUAUCGAAAAUAUUCUUUUUAUAUGAUAUUUAACCUAAAUCAUUGAAGCAUAUGUUCAAGUCAGUGAUUUAUUUAGAUGUUAACACCAUUAUGACAAAAUAUAGCUAUGUAUAUCUUUCUAACAGCAUAAGAAAGACAGUAUAUUUAUCUGUCUAGUGAUUAAUCAUUUAAAAUUCAAAACAUUUUAUACAAC